rnacentral:rRNA from 1 species
CCCUUAGAUGUUCUAGGCCGCACGCGCGCUACACUGUUCGACGCAGCGAGUCUUAACCUUGACCGAAAGGUUUGGGUAAUCUUCAGCAAAGUCGAACGUGAUGGGGAUCGAUCAUUGCAAUUAUUGAUCGUGAACGAGGAAUUCCUAGUAAGUGCAAGUCAUCAGCUUGCGCUGAUUACGUCCCUGCCCUUUGUACACACCGCCCGUCGCUACUACCGAUUGAAUGGUUUAGUGAGAUCUCUGGAUUGACGCUGGCUAGGGGGCGACCCUUGGCCAGACUGCUCGAGAAACUGCUCAAACUUGAUCAUUUAGAGGAAGUAAAAGUCGUAACA